rnacentral:rRNA from 1 species
CUACGGGAGGCUGCAGUGAGGAAUUUUGCGCAAUGGGGGAAACCCUGACGCAGCAACGCCGCGUGAGUGAUGAAGGCCUUCGGGUCGUAAAACUCUGCCAAGUGGGAAGAACCUAUGUAAGGUUAAUACCCUUAUGUACUGACGGUACCACUGAAGGAAGCACCGGCUAACUCCGUGCCAGCAGCCGCGGUAAUACGGAGGGUGCAAGCGUUAUUCGGAAUUAUUGGGCGUAAAGGGCGCGCAGGCGGUUUUGUAAGUCAGAUGUGAAAGCCCGGGGCUUAACCUCGGAAGUGCAUUUGAUACUGCAAGACUUGAGUAUGGGAGGGGGAAGUGGAAUUCCUGGUGUAGAGGUGAAAUUCGUAGAUAUCAGGAGGAACACCAGUGGCGAAGGCGACUUCCUGGACCAAUGCUGACGCUGAGGCGCGAAGGCGUGGGGAGCAAACAGGAUUAGAUACCCUUGUAGUC